rnacentral:rRNA from 1 species
CAGCAGCCGCGGUAAUACGAAGGGUGCAAGCGUUACUCGGAAUUACUGGGCGCAAAGCGUGUGUAGGUAGUUGUUUAAGUCUGUCGCGAAGGCCCUGGGCUCAACCUGGGAAUUGCGAUGGAUACUGGGCGACUAGAGUGCGGUAGAGGAUAGUGGAAUUUCCGGUGUAGCAGUGAAAUGCGUAGAGAUCGGGAGGAACAUCAGUGGCGAAGGCGGCCAUCUGGGACAACACUGACGCUGAGGCACGAAAGCGUGGGGAGCAAACAGGAUUAGAUACCCCUGUAGUCCCUGUCUCUUAUAC